rnacentral:lncRNA from 1 species
AUAUCAGAUUUGUCCGCCUGAGAUGCUCUAACUGAUGCAGUUUACAGAGCUGCGAUAUAUGUUUUUGGUGCUGAGUUACAAAUUUGUAAACUUCGUGCUUCUCCUUACUUAAUU